rnacentral:rRNA from 1 species
AUUGAACGCUGGCGGCAGGCCUAACACAUGCAAGUCGAGCGGUAGCAUAAGGGAGCUUGCUCCCCGGGUGACGAGCGGCGGACGGGUGAGUAAUGUCUGGGAAACUGCCUGAUGGAGGGGGAUAACUACUGGAAACGGUAGCUAAUACCGCAUAACGUCGCAAGACCAAAGUGGGGGACCUUCGGGCCCCACGCCAUCGGAUGUGCCCAGAUGGGAUUAGCUAGUAGGUGGGGUAACGGCUCACCUAGGCGACGAUCCCUAGCUGGUCCGAGAGGAUGACCAGCCACACUGGAACUGAGACACGGUCCAGACUCCUACGGGAGGCAGCAGUGGGGAAUAUUGCACAAUGGGCGCAAGCCUGAUGCAGCCAUGCCGCGUGUGUGAAGAAGGCCUUCGGGUUGUAAAGCACUUUCAGCGAGGAGGAAGGCGUUAAGGUUAAUAACCUUGACGAUUGACGUUACUCGCAGAAGAAGCACCGGCUAACUCCGUGCCAGCCGCCGCCGUAA